CUGCCUCAGCCUCCCGGGUAGCUGGGACUACAGGCGCCCGCGACCACGCCCGGCUAAUUUUUUUUUGUAUUUUUUUUUAGUAGAGACCGGGUUUCGCCGUGUUAGCCAGGAUGGUCUCGAUCUCCUGACCUCGUGAUCCACCCGCCUUGGCCUCCCAAAGUGCUGGGAUUACAGGCGUGAGUAACCGCACCCGGCAGUAGUACCUACUUUUUAAAGUGUAAGCAAGGAAAGUUGGCCCGCACCUGUAGUCCCAUCUACCUGGGAGGCUGAGGUGGAAGAAUUGCUUGAGCCCAGUUGGUCGAGGCUGCAAUGAGCCUUGAUCACGCCACUGCACUCCAGCCUGGGCAACAGAACAAGACCCUGUCUCAAACAAAAAAGUGUAUGUAAGAAUAAAAAUUAAUAGAUUAGGCACAGGAUGGGUGUUUAAUUCUCGGCAAUCACCACUAAGUUUUCAUACUGAGGCUUAUUCAUUCCAUGGGCAAAACAUUGCGCUAUGUGUGGUGCCUGGGGUGGGCUCCAAAUUCCAGUCCUCUCCUCGCUUGCGAUAGCUGUGUGAUCCAUUCCUAAGUUUCCUUAUUUGUCCACAGAGCGUACACAGGGUUUUUAUGAAAACUAGAUCAGAUAAUCAGACACAGUUAAAAUAGCACGCGCUCAGUAAAAUUACAUAUUAGUGGAAGAGACAAGCCUUGAAUAAAUCGCCUUUCGGGGAGUAUGACCCCCUCCCCGAAACCCACUCAGGCGCUGCUCGCUCGCACGCCCACUGAGCUCGGAGCGGAGCCCGAGCCCUUUCCCAGCACACAGGGUUCAUUUCCAGACUGAAAGACAUCCCAGAGACAACUCCAGAGGCCAAGGCGGGUCGGCUUCCUGCGUGGGCCCAGCGCCGGGCACUGAAAGGUGAAGGCGCUUCUUCCGCUCGGAGGAAAGCCUCUGGCGGUUCUCGCUUCGCGGGCUCGGGAUGGACACGCGCGUAGGGCUGGGGAGGUGACGCGCGGACAACGCCGGGGCGAGCAAACUACAACUCCCAGGCAGCUGUGCGCCACGCGGGCGGCCUACUGUCGGGUGUGGCCGCGAGGGGCGGCCUAUAUAAGCUCUUGCUCGCGGCUUCAGCGCCCUUUCUCCCCGCCGCAUUCCCGGUGUCGACUUACUAGCUGCAAGCCUCUGCCUGCCUUCCUGCGCGCCGUUCCCCGCUAGUCGCUGCUGCUGGCGCGCACUCGCCGGGUUUUUCCUCCCACGGCCUCGAGAUGGUGGUGAAUGUGGCACGGAGGAGCCGGGCCUUCCAACCCGGUGGGCCCGAGCUCCGAAAGGCCCCCUCGGCAGUGAGAGGGGCGGGAGCCCGCGGGGGCCGCGCCCUUCUCUCGCUUCGGACUGCGCAACGCUGCGCUCUGGGCUGACAGGCGGAUAAAACGGUCCCAUCAAGACUGAGAAAAAGCACACCAGCUAUUGGCACAGCGUGGGCAGUGGGGCCUACAGGAUGACUGACUUAGUCUACAGAGAUCCCGGCGUACUUAAGCAGAUGAAGACUCUUAAGAUGACAGAAGGUGAUUUUUCUGGUGAUCGAGGACUUCCGGGGUAAUGACAGUGAUGAAAUGCAGGGGACCUGGUUGCCCCCAAGUUUCCUGGCAGUGUGUGAUACUGAGGAGGUGAGCUUGUUUCUGGAGCUGUGCUUUAAGGUAAAGUUGAUCAGCUUAAUCCUCCUGAUCCCUUUCCCAUCGGAUCUGAACACUGGUCUUGGUGGUCGUAAAAGGAGGAAAAGUAAUAGUGAAGCUGGCCUAAAUGUUGUAAUCUGGUAUAUGGCAUGUGGGCUAGUUUCAGACAGGUUUCAGAGAUGGUUGGAUCUCUGAAAUUGUAAAAUGAAGUAUAAUCUUAGGCUAAGGGAAGGAUGCGUGUGAAGCUCUGGAGAUUCAUGUUACAUGUAAAGCUGUCCUCAUUUGUGACUAUGGACCUAUGGAGUUGGGACAAUCUCUAUGGGAAGCAGAAGGCAAGGACCCCGGUCAUUUUAGGUAGAAACAACAGCAUGCUAAUGCAAAAAAUUAUGCAGUGUGCUACUGAACUUCAGAGGUGAUCAAUAAAAGAAGAAUAAAAAGACUAAUAAAAGUAUAUUUGUGUUUGUAUUUUUUUGUAGAGACCGAACUGGUCUCUU
rnacentral:lncRNA from 1 species